UGAGGAAUAUUGGGCAAUGCCCGCAAGGGUGACCCAGCAACGCCGCGUGGAGGAUGAAUGUCGUAAGAUUGUAAACUCCUGUUAGAGGGGAAGAAUAGUACCGGUUGGACCGGUAUAUGACUGUACCCUCAGAGAAAGCCCCGGCUAACUACGUGCCAGCAGCCGCGGUACUACGUAGGGGGCAAGCGUUGUCCGGAUUUACUGGGUGUAAAGGGCGCGCAGGCGGGAUAAAAAGUCAGUGGUGAAAUCCUACAGCUUAACUGUAGAACUGCCUUUGAUACUUUUAUUCUUGAGUUCGGGAGAGAGAGACGGAAUUCCAGGUGUAGUGGUGAAAUACGUAGAUAUCUGGAAGAACACCAGUUGCGAAGGCGGUCUCUUGGUCGGACACUGACGCUGAGGCGCGAAAGCGUGGGGAGCAAACA
rnacentral:rRNA from 1 species